GAGAGACUGAGCUUCCUAGCCUCCCACGAGCUUUCACCCCUUUCAUCUCUGAAGAGCCCAGACCAAAGCCAUAUGGUCCAGCCUGCAGAGGAGGAAGCUGGCCUGGGGCAGAAAGUGACUUGAUCAGGAAUACUUCCAGGGCCCAGAAACCUGCCUGCCUUCUGGGCAGGCCGGGCCUGGAGGCAGGGGCCACACUCAAGCUUGCUGAAGUUUCCUUCUUGAAAGGGAGAGAAGCUUUGAACAACCUAUCCUGCUACAGAAUGGGAAUCACAGACACCCAUCCCCUGAGGUCUGUGUGGCCUCUGCGUGAGUAACUGCUCCAUGUGCCCGGGGGUUCCCGCUGAUCUAGAGAGAACAGCCCCACGCCGGGUACAGGUCUUCCAAGUGCGGCUUCCAUCUAAACAGUGGCCACCUGAACCCAAUGUAAUUAGAAAGGACUUGCUUAGGUGUGUCUGUGGUCCCUUCAGCGACAGCAGGGGACUGCCUCUGGUGGCCCUGGUUUCCGCCUCCUGACUGACGACAGUGGGGCUCCGCACCUCGCCCGCUCCCUCUCUGUGUGCCCCUCCCCGUCUCCCGCCUGCCCUGCCUCAGGCUUUUGCCAACACAGCUUCCUGGAGUCCAGGCUGACUCCUGCCUCUGCCGCCACGGCUCGGACUUCCCUGGCACCCUUGGUACCCCUCCUAGAGAAAGGCAGAGUCAGGAAGAAGCCAAGACAGCUCGGAGCCCUGGAGGGGAGGCCGGGGAUGACAGAGCCCGCAAGGCACCCAGGAACCUUCGUAUCCGGCUCCGUUCUUCAGCGCGGGGGACACUGAGUCGACAGUUUUGCUGACCAUGAAGGAGCACAGAGCUAACUUCUCUCCUCCGUCUGAACACUAUGAGGAUUCAGAACCUUGGUAGCAGCAAGGGCCUUUUAUUCCCAUCCACCUUCUCGGCGAGUCCAGAUGAAUUUUGGGGACACGGGUUUGAGCCCUGGUCUGGGAAGAUCCCACAUGCCGCGGAGCAACUAAGCCUGUGUGCCACAACUACUGAGCCUGCACGUCACAACUACUGAAGCCUGCAUGCCUAGAGCCCGUGCUCUGCAACAAGAGGAGCCACCGCAAUGAGGAGCCAGCGCACCACAACGAAGAGUAGCCCCCGCUCGCCACAACGAGAGAAAGCCCGUGUGCAGCAACGAAGACCCAACGCAGCCAAAAAUAAAUAAAUAAAUAAAUUUACUUAAAAAAAAGAUUAGUUAUAUAUGACUGAUAACUGAUGAAUAUGGUUAUAAUUUUUAUGACUUUUUGUCAGAAGUAUUACUGGCUUUUAAUCUUUGUUUUCUAGAUAUAAGGAAACCUUAAGCUAAUUAUGACUUAUAGCAACUUGGUAAAUUAGUCCUUUGUAAGCAGAACUGAAACAUUUAUCUUUUCUUU